GGUGUAUAUGACUGGGUUGUGUUUCUAAAAGCAAAAUGUAGGUGUGAACAACUUUAUAAACAGCAAAAGUUACUGAUUAUGAAGUAACAGAUCUGGCAGCAUCCAGAGCACUCCAAGAGGAACCGUCUGUGACAACUACGGAGAGAAUGCUGGGAAAUUCAUCAGUCUUUGUCAUUGCUAAGGAAGGCUUGGACAAUUCUUUGGAAAGAAAAAUUAGUCAAAAAAGGACUUUAAGUAAUGGCAAGUUUGCUGUUGUCAUCACAGAAAAUAGCUUGCUGGGGGAACACAAUAAAUUUGAAACUCUCAGAAACAAGGGAUCAGACUUCACAAAGCUGAAAAUGAAGUUUGUGUUUUCUGUUCCUCUGCAAACAAAAAGGCCUGGUCUGUCUAAGAAAAAUCAAUGAGUUACAUGUGGACUUAAAAAUAUACUUGGUCAGCACAAUUACUGCUAUUACAAAUGCUAAUUAGUAUUUAUAUACUGUUAUACUAUUUUCACAAAUAUUGAAGUGAUCUUUAAAAAAUAUUUUAAACUAACCCUUUUCCCUAUUUAGACUAAAAAAUUUACAUUAAUUUUCCUAUUGUUCAGAUUCAUCCUUCAGAAAAAAACCAUAUGAUACGCAAUAUUAUGAUGCACUUUCUUCCAGUCCUAGAAUAAAAACAUUUGCUCAGGAUUCCAAAAAUCAGUAAGAAACAGUUUUUCUCUAUCUUAUGGCUUUGAUGGUGAUUCUUAGUUUGAUUACCGUAACAGAUUAAAAAGUGUGCCUCUUCUGUCUGCCAGUUACUUGGGAUGAUUCUGUUUGUAGUGCCUGUGCUUCACAGACUGCUAAAAGAGCAUCACAGUCAAAGCAAGAAAGAGACAAUAAAGUACAAGGAAGGGAAGCAACAGAUAAUGAGAUGUGUGCAGUAAGAAAAACCUACUCACUACAGACCAUCCUUCUUACUCACCCUGAGAACAGUUUGGCUUGUUUUUUCCCUUCAGUGUCACUCCCCCUAUGAAGUAGAUCCCUAUCUAUUUGUGCUGACAGCUAACGAGUUACUUCCAAAGUGGGUUUGUCUAUAGGAAAACAUUUGUCAGCAUAUGAAAAGAAGCAUCCAUCUUUCCCAGACUAUUGGUCCAUCUUGACUUUACUUUCUUUAACAGUGGAAACAGAUGCCAUCCGGAGAAAACACGUUAUAAUCUCACAUGGCAAACUCAGCAGAUUUCUUCCAGUUCAGAGCAAGUCAAUCAUCAAGUGUCCACCAUGUUUUACUGAUAUCUGCUGUGACACAGUAAGCUCAAUCAUGUGUGAUCCUAUGAGAGCCACUGAAAAUGUAACCCCCACAUGAACCAGAAGCUGCUGGAAUUGGAAGAACUGGAACCUUGGCCUUUGAGGCAAUGGGCAUUUCCAUCUGAAGGAGUUAGAGGUUGUUAUGACCAAACCAUUGCAAAGCUCCAAACCGGGUCAGUUAUGCAGUUACAUGGCACAGUGUACCUUUGGUUACUGGAUGAAGCAAGAGGGGCUUUCUGGCCGACACCGGCCUCCCCCUGGCUUGUACCUGCUCCAAGCCUCACAGACCCCUUGGAGGCCACUGGCUGAGCAUUGGCAGUGUUGGCAUCCCUGGAGGAUGACUUAGGAGGAUGCCAAAUACUCGAGGUCACAUACUGGGGCGCAUGCGCGGUACCUGUAGGCCUGGGUAACAGAGAUUACAAGGGCGUUUGUAAAUGAGGCAUUUCUUAGGUAAUAGCAGGGGUUUGAGGAACAGGCAGAAUUCCAGCCACAGAUGGAGCUGGAGAUCAUAAUGACAAUGCAGAUGAAGUAAUCUUGAUAGUUCAUUGGUUAAUUACUGCUUAAGAUCAGGAAAGGCUUGACAAAUUAAAAAGGGUACCUUGUGUUAAAUCUGGAAAUCAUAUUGCUAUGAAUAUCAAAAUAAGCAGAGCUGUGAUGGUAAUGGAGGUGGAGAAAGGCUGUGGUAUGAUAGAUCACACAAUAUUAAGGCAACAUAGGAGGACAAUAACACCAGUCAUAUAUCAGAAAUUGUUCCUGGCAAAAUAAAAUGAUAGUUAAAAGAAAAGGAGAUUUCAGUGAAGCAGCUGCAUAGUCCUAUAAAUGGUUUUACACAAAUGAAACUGCUGGUGAAAUUCUACCAUGUGUUCCUUGUUCUUUACAAUUUAAUUUAUAUUCAGGAAUCAAGGGGUUUAUUUCCUUCUUUUUUAAAAUUAUUAAUUUAAAAAUAAAAAUCAAUUUUCCCAAC